rfam:Salmo salar isolate Sally breed double haploid chromosome ssa12, whole genome shotgun sequence.
UGUAUUCACUACUGUAAGUCACUCUGGAUAAGAGUGUCUGCUAAAUUACUAAAU